rnacentral:rRNA from 1 species
UACGUAGGGUGCGAGCGUUGUUCGGAAUUACUGGGCGUAAAGCGCACGUAGGCGGACUAUUAAGUCAGGGGUGAAAUCCCGGGGCUCAACCCCGGAACUGCCUUUGAUACUGGUAGUCUCGAGUCCGGAAGAGGUGAGUGGAAUUCCGAGUGUAGAGGUGAAAAUUCGUAGAUAUUCGGAGGAACACCAGUGGCGAAGGCGGCUCACUGGUCCGGUACUGACGCUGAGGUGCGAAAGCGUGGGGAGCAAACAGG